rnacentral:SRP_RNA from 1 species
AGCGGCAUCACCAACAAGAGGAUCUGCAAGCACUCGCAGUCACUCCUCGGCAUUGAGUGUGGCUCUUGGAACAACCUGAUGGGCUGCCUGGACAAACAUCG